rnacentral:rRNA from 1 species
CGUAGGGUGCAGGCGUUAAUCGGAAUUACUGGGCGUAAAGCGUGCGCAGGCGGUUUGCUAAGACAGGUGUGAAAUCCCCGGGCUUAACCUGGGAACUGCGCUUGUAACUGGCAAGCUAGAGUGUGGCAGAGGGGGGUGGAAUUCCACGUGUAGCAGUGAAAUGCGUAGAGAUGUGGAGGAACACCGAUGGCGAAGGCAGCCCCCUGGGCUAACACUGACGCUCAUGCACGAAAGCGUGGGGAGCAAACAGGAUUAGAUACCCUGGUAGUCCACGCCCUAAACUAUGUCAACUGGUUGUCGGGGAAGCAAUUCCUUGGUAACGAAGCUAACGCGUGAAGUUGACCGCCUGGGGAGUACGGCCGCAAGGUUA